UGGGUACUCCCUCCGUCCGGAAAUACUUGUCAUCAAAAUGGAUAAAAGGGGGUGUAUCUAGAACUAAAAUACAUCUAGAUACAUCCUCUUUUAUUCAUCUUGAUGACAAGUAUUCCCGGACGGAGGGAGUAUCAU
rfam:Triticum aestivum genome assembly, contig: Triticum_aestivum_CS42_TGACv1_scaffold_570743_7AS